GUAUCUGCGGAGCGAGCGGCGGACGGAGGAGUCCGUCACCGCGCUGUUCCGUUCGCGAGGCGCUUCUUAUGGAGUCAAACAACAGAGAGACGGUGACCAAUGCGAUUCAACGUUUUGUCAUCGCAGUCUCUCGAUUCUUCACAUGCCGUUGCUGGGUUGGAUCUGCAGGGGAACAUGAGCCCAGCCUUGCCGAGGAGGAAACAAACCGCAGUUCUGUCAGGCCCUGGUGUGUAGAAGAAGAAACACCAUGGCAUCCAAAUGACGUCAUUUCACCGUGAUGAUUCACUUAUGUAUCAGCACAGGCACUUUACAAAUCAGAAAGUUUCACUUUCUCAUGCCUUUGCUGCAAAGCCUUUCUGACGUGAAGCAUCAGACCACAUCUUUAAAGCCAACAUCUUUCACACUGGCAAGAGUUGAGCUCGUGUCCUUCAGAGAUCACCUCAAUGGAGAUGUGUGCAACACUGUAAAAAUGGGUGCUGAUCAAUGUCACCAUAGCUUUGCUAUCAUGAACUUGCAAACUUUAUUCCUGGCAUAUGUGCCUUUCUCUUGAAUGAACCCCACACCAAGCCAAGUUUUAAUACUUACUUUUAUAACCUAAGAAAAGCUCCACUAGUUUGCAUUGGAGCGCCUGUAGUUAGUAUGUAUCAUAUAUAAUCAGGGUCUAAAAUAUGAAUCACAGCCAGGAUGUAAAGUCCAGGAGCUUGGGAUUGUUGGAUUGGAAAAAAAAGAAUGUAAUGUGAUAGUGGUUUACAGUGCAUAAGUAUUACAGUGGAAGAGUGAUUGAGGUCCGCAAGAUGAAAUGUUUUCGAGAAUGAAAUAGUAAAUUUUUUUAUGCACUUAAUUAAAGUUCCAUAGCCAUGCAGAUGAUGUCAGUGACCUGAAAAUGCUGCAUAUCAGACUCAGGGCUGUAAUAUGAAUAAGCAAUAAUUACAAGAUAUAACAUUUAAUUGCUUCACAUGUUAAUUUUAAAGGCUCUAUAGAUUAAAUGUGAGGUGAUUAAUGUUUGUGUUAGUCUUGACUAUGAUUCAGGUUUUUAAACUUUUUUUAACUACCUUAAUCUUAAUCUACAAGACCAACGAAGUUGACCCAUAAAACUACAAAGGUUGUAUUCUUGCCGCUGAUUGCUUAUUGGUGAACUUCUCUUUACAUCCUUUUCUUUUUAGUAAACAAUUAUAUUUUGUUACUUCUACAGAGCCUUGGUGCUGUUUAGGUGCUUGGCCCUCCUGUAAGUGCCAUAUGUUUUUCAUUGAUAUUGUCCUGUUUUGCUUGUUUUUUUUGUUUUUUUAUUUGUCCCAGCAUGUCAGCAAUGAAAGGGAAAGUAAGGUUUAGCACAAAAAUGUUUUAAGUUUUAAGAUUUUACGAUCAUGUUUCUUGUUCUGUUAUACCUGGUGCUAGAAAUCUCUGUUGUUGACUGGAUCGGUUGCUGGACAUGGAAAAUAUACAGGGUACUGUAAUACAGGAUAGUGCAUUACACUGAAAAGUUUUGUAUGUUGCACUUUUAAGGCUUUAUUUUAAAUUUUGUUGAGCAUUCUUUUCAUUUGUUAAGUGACAUAUUUUAAUAUUUUGAAAAGCGGUAAAAGCAUAAAGCAGGACUGUGGACUUUUAUUAUCACUCUAUUUAUGAAGCACUUCUUAUGGAGACUGAUAGCAGAGGCAAGAAAUGACUCGAUUUAAUCGUAUUUGAUCAUCCUAAUUCAAGUCAUUUUUACAAUCUCAGACAAAUGAAAUUUUGGGUAGGCCUGGGGGAAAGUGGAUAGGUCAGUUUCGUAGACACACUUUCCAAAUGUGCUAAUGUCCUGCAAUGUCAUGUCAUCAGGUUGUAGCCUAUUCCCAAAAGCCAUGCUGUCAUCAACCUGCUCAUUCUCCUAAAACACCAGCAUGUUCUGACAAUCAACCCCAAUAAUAAAGUCACAAAGCUAAAGCAUACUGCCACAGCUGGCAUUUAAGACGACAUGACUGAUAUAAAAUCUGACAGCUGAUAUGUGCAAAGACAAGGAAACACAGCAGACCUAAACCUAAUAAAACCUAAACCUAAUAAUUAUUAAUUACAUAAUUCAUUACAUUUUAGCCAUUGUAGUAAAACUGACACAUUUUUUACAACUUUAGAUGGAAAGAAACGGGUCAGAAUCCGAUCUUUAAACAUCCCCAGUUACAUUGUUUAACUGCAACUUCUAGUUCAAACACUGGCAUAUUGAUGAACUGAUGGCUUAAGGCAUAACUGAUAGCAACAGUUGCUGCACAGUGAUUGGAGGACUGAGAAAUAGGACCUAGAUGGAGAGGUUAAUUCAUUGGCUGUAAUACAGUGACAGCACUUACAUUAAAAAUCAAACUGCAUUACCUUUAAACAUUCAGCUUAAUUAAUAUUUCCCCAAUUUAUAGACAGAUGAAGACACUGUUAGCCAGAAUUUCAGAAUGUUGUGAAUGUUUAAAGAAAUUAAACUGAUCUCAGAUUGUUCUUCUGUUGUUCUGUGAUUGUUCUGUUGUUCUGUAAUUGUUCUUCUGUUGUUCUGUCAUUGUUCUUCUGUUGUUCUGUAAUUGUUCUUCUGUUGUUCUGUGAUUGCCCUAGCCUUAUGUUUGUAAUAGUGUUAUUUAUGUAAUGUAGGCUAAUAGUGACUGAGUCAAUACGUCACACUUCAGUCAUUUCUCGUGGUCUGAACAGCCAUUUCGAAAGUGAAAUUAAAAAAAGGACAGAAUAGCGCCA